UUAGGUUUGAAGCACUUUUACAUGCAUGCAUUGAAAAAUAUUGAAUAUAAAUAGCACUGAAUAUAAAUAGCCCUAUAAAUAGCAUUUGUGAAAAACACAGAAAAGACCCUGGUCUCAAAAAGUUUACUUUGCAUUUGCAAAAGGGUUAGUAGGAAAUAAAUAAAGGAACAAAAUCAUUUCAGGGAAUUAUAAGUGCUAUGAAAAAUAAAGUACACUGAGGAAGUAGAACGAUGUAGGCAUGGUGAGGCUAAUUCAGAUGGAGUGAUCAGAAAGUCCCAUUGAUACUUAACACUUCAGCUCCAUGACAAGGACACAAGUAUGAAAAGGUCUGGGGUCCGAAUUUGGGUAAAGACUAUGACACGUGUCAAGGUGGUGGCACAGGAAUAAGCUUGACGUGUUCAGAGAAGCCACAGCAGCUCAGGGGCAGCAAGCAAAGGGGAAAAUGGAAGGGGAUGAACUCCAAGAUAGGGGAAAGAAUUACACUUUUAUGGCAUGAGAGGCUAUGGGGCUAUCCAUUUCUGUGACAUAUCUCCAAACUUAGUGGCUUAAAACAAACAUCUUAUUUUGCUCACAAUUUGGAGUUCAGCGAUAUGGGAAAGUUCUUCUGGACAUUUAUCUCUGAUGCGGGUAGUAUUACUGGGGCAGCUAAAGCUGCAAAACUAGGUGAUUUCAUUCAAUGUCUGUUCCCUUGGUGCUCUUUGUUCACAUGGCAUCUCCUAUUCUAGGGCCUCUCCACAUGGCGUGCUCUUCUCACAAGUUGGCAUCAUGGCGGUCUCGUGGCUGUCUCUAACUACUGUUAGACUUAUGUGAUGACUGGUUUCCCCCAGAGCAGGCCUUGAUCCAAGCUCCACGCCUUCUUAUGACCUCUCCUGGAAGUCUCAGAACAUCACUCCUGCCACUUUGCCCUUUUUGGUUAAUCAUACAAGGCAUUAAGGCCAGCCCACAUUCAAAGGGAAGAAAGUCAGACACUUCUCUUUUCUAUGGGAAUGUCACAGAAUCUGUGGCCAUCUUGAACCUGCCUCAGAGGCCAUGGUAGAGUCCUUUUACUGCCACUGCUGUGAACCACAUCAUUCAGUAUGCAGCACUUCGAAUUUUGCCAAAGUAAUCAUGAUGUAUGAAAACUCGCAACGUGACAUCACGAAUUCUGUUAAAGACAUGACCAUCUCAUUUCCUGCCAGGUCUGGACCCUCAAUUCCUUCACUUGAAUGUGAGUCAGCCUCAUGAGGACAGUUGCAUUUGCCUCCCGCCUAUUCUCAUGCCUAUGAUCACUCCUUUCACAACUAUUAACUCAUCUCACACAGCCUCUCUGCAUAGUACAAUUCUGAAAUAAAAUUUGAUUGUGU
rnacentral:lncRNA from 1 species